AGGAUGUAACCCAAGGUACAAAUGCCUGCACAGUGAUGUCAUCCUCUUGGGUUUCUCGCGAGAUUGCGCGGGCCAAUCAGGGCAGCCCUACGGCUGUAUACGGCAGUAGCAGCAGCAGCAGGUAGAGUCAGACUGUGAGAGAGAGAGCGAGCGUGUGUGCAGCGGCGUGUAUCUGUGGCGUGCAGCCGACAGACAGAGCUUGAUGUGUCCACGGCCGCCGCCGCCGGGUUGAGUGACUGUGUGCUUGAGAAUGAACAGCGGAAUUGGCCAGGUUUUCCUGGGAUAUUGAUGGCGAGCUAGCAACCAGAAGAAUCCAGAGAGGGAACGGGUCUGCCUGUGUGGUGGAACGCCAGUGACAGCACCGUGUGCUCUUUCCCCGGUCAUCCCACACAUACAUCCUCACACACUACCUCACCAGCCCAAUCCCUUCCUCUCCCCCUUGCCCGGACAAUUCAUACCCAAUUCAUCUCACACAGACUCUCUCACUCUUCUUGGGGGAUAAGAUGGGAUAUUUGGGACUGGGGCAGCAACCAGCCGCAGUGUUUUGAUGUUGAAUGUUGAGUGGGUUUGACGAAUGCAUGUGGAUUCAUUGAAGUAUUUUUCAAUAACCUUUGGAAUAACCUUUCUCUUGGUUAUCUGUUAGAAGGUGCACUGAUCUAGACAUAGUCUACCUGAACUAUCUAUUUAAAGCUUGUGGCCAAUUGUAUAUUCUGUAUAUAUUCUGUAAAUUAACUACUGUGUUCACUGUGUAUAAUACAUUUUCAAAAGCAACCUGACUUUGGUUUUCAUUUUUAUUCUGUACCGCAGAAUAAUUCAGUCCUCCCAGCCUUCUACUUCUGACCAGUUUAAUCAUCUUUUCACCUUAGCA